AUUGAACGCUGGCGGCAGGCCUAACACAUGCAAGUCGAACGGUAACAGGAAGCAGCUUGCUGCUUUGCUGACGAGUGGCGGACGGGUGAGUAAUGUCUGGGAAACUGCCUGAUGGAGGGGGAUAACUACUGGAAACGGUAGCUAAUACCGCAUAACGUCGCAAGACCAAAGAGGGGGACCUUCGGGCCUCUUGCCAUCGGAUGUGCCCAGAUGGGAUUAGCUAGUAGGUGGGGUAACGGCUCACCUAGGCGACGAUCCCUAGCUGGUCUGAGAGGAUGACCAGCCACACUGGAACUGAGACACGGUCCAGACUCCUACGGGAGGCAGCAGUGGGGAAUAUUGCCCAAUGGGCGCAAGCCUGAUGCAGCCAUGCCGCGUGUAUGAAGAAGGCCUUCGGGUUGUAAAGUACUUUCAGCGGGGAGGAAGGGAGUAAAGUUAAUACCUUGGCUCAUUGACGUUACCCGCAGAAGAAGCACCGGCUAACUCCGUG
rnacentral:rRNA from 1 species